GACGAACGCUGGCGGCGUGCUUAACACAUGCAAGUCGAACGGAAAGGCCCUGCUUUUGUGGGGUGCUCGAGUGGCGAACGGGUGAGUAACACGUGAGUAACCUGCCCUUGACUUUGGGAUAACUUCAGGAAACUGGGGCUAAUACCGGAUAGGAGCUCCUGCUGCAUGGUGGGGGUUGGAAAGUUUCGGCGGUUGGGGAUGGACUCGCGGCUUAUCAGCUUGUUGGUGGGGUAGUGGCUUACCAAGGCUUUGCAGGGUAGCCGGCCUGAGAGGGUGACCGGCCACAUUGGUACUGAGAUACGGCCCAGACUCCUACGGGAGGCAGCAGUGGGGAAUAUUGCACAAUGGGAGGAAGGCUGAUGCAGCAACGCGGCGUGCGGGAUGACGGCCUUCGGGUUAUAAACCGCUUUCGCCUGUGACGAAGCGUGAGUGACGGUAAUGGGUAAAGAAGCACCGGCUAACUACGUG
rnacentral:rRNA from 1 species